GGAUUGUAGCUCAGAGGCAGAGCGCUUGCCCAGCAUAUGUGAGGCCCUGGGUUCGAUCCUCAGCACCA
rnacentral:tRNA from 1 species